rnacentral:rRNA from 1 species
GCCCGCACAAGCGGAGGAGCAUGUGGUUUAAUUCGAUGAUACGCGAGGAACCUUACCUGGGCUAGAACGUAGAGUGACUGCGGGUGAAAGCCUGCUUCCCUUCGGGGCAGUCUACGAGGUGCUGCAUGGUUGUCGUCAGCUCGUGCCGUGAGGUGUCGGGUUAAGUCCCAUAACGAGCGCAACCCCUAUCUUUAGUUGCCAACAGGUCAAGCUGGGGACUCUAAAGAAACUGCCUACGCAAGUAGUGAGGAAGGCGGGGAUGACGUCAAAUCAGCACGGCCCUUACGUCCAGGGCUACACACGUGCUACAAUGGCCGAUACAGAGGGCAGCUACCAGGUGACUGGAUGCAAAUCUCCAAAGUCGGUCUCAGUUCGGAUCGGAGUCUGCAACCCGACUCCGUGAAGUUGGAUUCGCUAGUAAUCGCGCAUCAGCCAUGGCGCGGUGAAUACGUUCCCGGGCCUUGUACACACCGCCCGUCAAGCCAUGGAAGCUGGGGGGACCUAAGGUCGAUAACCGAAAGGAGUCGCCUAGGGUAAAACCAGUGACUGGGGCUAAGUCGUAACAAGGUAACCA